rnacentral:rRNA from 1 species
ACCUUUUGUCAGUCCUAGAAACACUAACGAAUAAGGGGUGGGCAAGUUCUGGUGUCAGCCGCCGCGGUAAAACCAGCACCUCAAGUGGUCAGGAUGAUUAUUGGGCCUAAAGCAUCCGUAGCUCGUUUUGUAAGUUUUCGGUUAAAUCCAUGCGCUUAACGUAUGGGCUGCCGGGAAUACUGCAUAACUAGGAAGUGGGAGAGGUAGACGGUACUCGGGAGGAAGGGGUAAAAUCCUUUGAUCUCUUGAUGACCACCUGUGGCGAAGGCGGUCUACCAGAACACGUUCGACGGUGAGGGAUGAAAGCUGGGGGAGCAAACCGGAUUAGAUACCCGGGUAGUCCCAGCUGUAAACUAUGCAAACUCAGUGAUGCAUUGGCUUAUGGCCAAUGCAGUGCUGCAGGGAAGCCGUUAAGUUUGCCGCCUGGGAAGUACGUACGCAAGUAUGAAACUUAAAGGAAUUGGCGGGGGAGCACCACAAGGGGUGAAGCCUGCGGUUCAAUUGGAGUCAACGCCAGAAAUCUUACCCGGAGAGACAGCAGAAUGAAGGUCAAGCUGAAGACUUUACCAGACAAGCUGAGAGGUGGUGCAUGGCCGUCGCCAGCUCGUGCCGUGAGAUGUCCUGUUAAGUCAGGUAACGAGCGAGAUCCCUGCCUCUAGUUGC